AGUGAACGCUGGCGGCAGGCCUAACACAUGCAAGUCGAACGGCAGCACAGGAGAGCUUGCUCUCUGGGUGGCGAGAGGCGGACGGGUGAGGAAUACAUCGGAAUCUACCUUGUCGUGGGGGAUAACGUAGGGAAACUUACGCUAAUACCGCAUACGACCUUCGGGUGAAAGCAGGGGACCUUCGGGCCUUGCGCGAUUAGAUGAGCCGAUGUCGGAUUAGCUAGCUGGCGGGGUAAAGGCCCACCAAGGCGACGAUCCGUAGCUGGUCUGAGAGGAUGAUCAGCCACACUGGAACUGAGACACGGUCCAGACUCCUACGGGAGGCAGCAGUGGGGAAUAUUGGACAAUGGGCGCAAGCCUGAUCCAGCCAUGCCGCGUGGGUGAAGAAGGCCUUCGGGUUGUAAAGCCCUUUUGUUGGGAAAGAAAAGCAGUCGGCCAAUACCCGAUUGUUCUGACGGUACCCAAAGAAUAAGCACCGGCUAACUUCGUGCCAGCCGCCGCCGUAAGAC
rnacentral:rRNA from 1 species